rnacentral:rRNA from 1 species
UACAGAGACUGCAAGCGUUAUUCGGAUUCACUGGGCGAUGAAAGGGUGCGCAGGCGGUUGGGUGUGUCAGAUGUGAAAUCCCGAGGCUCAACCUCGGAACUGCGUCCGAUACUGGAUGGCUUGAAUCCGGGAGAGGGAUGCAGAAUUCCAGGUGUAGCGGUGAAAUGCGUAGAUAUCUGGAGGAAUACCGGUGGCGAAGGCGGCAUCCUGGACCGGCAUUGACGCUGAGGAGCGAAAGCUAGGGGAGCAAACGGG